UACGAAGGGGGGCAAGCGUUGUUCGGAAUUACUGGGCGUAAAGGGCGCGUAGGCGGCCUUGCAAGUGACGGGUGAAAUCCCUCGGCUUAACCGAGGAACUGCCUGUCAAACUGCGUGGCUUGAGACCAGGAGAGGUGAGUGGAAUUCCCAGUGUAGCGGUGAAAUGCGUAGAUAUUGGGAGGAACACCAGUGGCGAAGGCGACUACCUGGCCUGUUUCUUGACGCUGAGGCGCGAAAGCUAGGGGAGCAAACGGGG
rnacentral:rRNA from 1 species